GACGAACGCUGGCGGCGUGCCUAAUACAUGCAAGUCGAACGCAGUGGGGACGGGUGAGUAACACGUGGGUAACCUCCCAUCAGAGGGGAUAACACUUGGAAACAGGUGCUAAACCGAUAAUGUUGGAUUGACCCGCGGUGCAUUAGCGAGUUGGUGGGGUAACGGCUCACCAAGGCCACGCUGCAUAGCCGGCCCAAGAGGGUGAUCGGCCACACGGGGACUGGGACACGGCCCAGACUCCUACGGGAGGCAGCAGUAGGAAAUCUUCGGCAAUGGGCGAAAGUCUGACCAAGCCACGCCGCGUGAGUGAAGAAGGUUUUCGGAUCGUAAAACUCUGUUGUUAGAGAAGCGGUAUCUAACCAAAAAGCCACGGCUAACUACGUGCCAGCAGCCGCGGUAAUAC
rnacentral:rRNA from 1 species